ACUCAAAGGAAUAGACGGGGGUCCGCACAAGCGGUGGAACAUGUGGUUUAAUUCGACACUACGCGAGGAACCUUACCUGGACUUGACAUGCUUUUGACAGUUGUAGAAAUACAAUCUUCCGAGCUUCGGUUCGGACAACUGCACAGGUGCUGCAUGGCUGUCGUCAGCUCGUGUCGUGAGAUGUUGGGUUAAGUCCUUUAACGAGCGCAACCCUUGCCAUCAGUUGCUAUUUGGAAACAAAGCACUCUGAUGGGACUGCCUGGGAAACCAGGAGGAAGGUGGGGACGACGUCAAGUCAUCAUGGCCUUUAUGUCCAGGGCUACACACGUGUUACAAUGGCUGAAAACAAAGGGUUGCCAACCCGCAAGGGGGAGCUAAUCCCAUAAAGUCAGUCUAAGUUCGGAUUGAGGUCUGCAACUCGACCUCAUGAAGUUGAAAUCGCUAGUAAUCGCGUAUCAGCAACGGCGCGGUGAAUACGUUCUCGGACCUUGUACACACCGCCCGU
rnacentral:rRNA from 1 species